rnacentral:lncRNA from 1 species
CAAGAAUCUAGACUAUUUUUAGCCAAAGAGUGUUGGCUCCAGACUUUUAGAGAUCAUAUAUUAUGUAGUAAAAUGGCUAUUUUUGUUCUCAUAGUUGUCAGUUUUAUGUAUUGUAAAGCACCAAGAAUGGCAAUGGUUAUGUCAGUUAUGCAAUUUUUCUCUUGUGUAGAAUCUCAAACUCCCCCAUCAUUUAUAUAUCGCAGACCCACUGAAGAACCACAGAAUGAUUUUUCAACAAAAGUUCAGCAAUUUAUUUCAGAAUUUUCAUGGGUACACGCAUCAGUUAUUUUGAGUAUAAUUGUCUUAUUGUUUUUGAUAUUUUUAAUUUGCUAUUUGUACAAAUCAAAACAUAACCGGUGUACGACUUUGGUUUUAGAAAUUACCUCAGGUGGCGAUUGUGUUAUUGUACCUAUUUUAAACUUGUCUUUGUGCCCAUCUUAUUAUAAAAUUUCCAAACCAUCUGUUAAAGAAUUGACUGUUGCCGCAUUUCCCUCAUGUAAAUUAUUUGCCACAUGGUCAUCCUUUCAAGUAACUAAUUUGUUAACUGAGCAAAGUAUUCAGAUUCCCACAACAAUUUCACUUAGCUUAAGGAAUCGUUAUAAGCUUCCGUAUAUUUUAAAUCAACCAUUCAAUGCCUACGUCUAUGUGACACACCAAGGAUUCGCUAAUAUUCUAAAUCCGCCAGCAGAUUCUUCAAAUAAAACUAAGAAUGCAUCUGCAGCUGAUUUGACCUCAUUUGUAUAAACAUUUUUAUAAAACCAUUAUUAUUUUGGAUAAUUAUCUUAUUUUUUUUGGUUUUGAGCGGUAGUCACC